rnacentral:rRNA from 1 species
CCCUUAGAUGUUCUGGGCCGCACGCGCGCUACACUGACGAAGUCAGCGAGCAUGUCCUACGCCGACAGGUGCGGGGAAUCUUGUCAAACUUCGUCGUGAUGGGGAUUGAUUAUUGAAAUUCUUGAUCAUCAACGAGGAAUUCCUAGUAAGCGCAAGUCAGCAGCUUGCGUUGAUUACGUCCCUGCCCUUUGUACACACCGCCCGUCGCUACUACCGAUUGAAUGGUUUAGUGAGACCUUCGGAUUGGCGCCACUGCGGCUCAGCAAUGGGCUCGGUGGAUGCCGAAAAGUUGAUCAAACUUGAUCAUUUAGAGGAAGUAAAAGUCGUAACA